GCGGAGACAAAUGUUUCCGUUCACUCCUCACACCACACUUCGCCCGAAUUACUAUUCGGGCGUU
rnacentral:sRNA from 1 species